GAUGAACGCUGGCGGCGUGCUUAACACAUGCAAGUCGAACGGAAAGGCCCUUGCUUGCUGGGGUACUCGAGUGGCGAACGGGUGAGUAACACGUGGGUGACCUGCCCUGCACUUCGGGAUAAGCCUGGGAAACUGGGUCUAAUACCGGAUAGGACGAUGGGCUGGAUGCCAUUGUGGAAAGUUUUUCGGUGUGGGAUGAGCUCGCGGCCUAUCAGCUUGUUGGUGGGGUAAUGGCCUACUAAGGCGUCGACGGGUAGCCGGCCUGAGAGGGUGUACGGCCACAUUGGGACUGAGAUACGGCCCAGACUCCUACGGGAGGCAGCAGUGGGGAAUAUUGCACAAUGGGCGCAAGCCUGAUGCAGCGACGCCGCGUGGGGGAUGACGGCCUUCGGGUUGUAAACUCCUUUCGCUAGGGACGAAGCGCAAGUGACGGUACCUGGAGAAGAAGCACCGGCUAACUACGUG
rnacentral:rRNA from 1 species